rnacentral:lncRNA from 1 species
GAAAUUGCCAAAGCUUGUCGUGUUAAAUGCAGCAGUCGUGUGCACGCCGCCAAAGAAACUGAAUGGUGGUAGCAGCGGUAGGUUGGAGUACAACGUAACGCCAACACCACUUGUCCAACCUUGUUGCAACAAAAGCAAAGAAAACUACUUGAGGAUUCACACACUCCAUAAUAUUUAAUCCAAAUACAAGUUACAAUGGCAUGCAUGCCAAACUUUAAGAUAUAAAGCCUAAACCACCGUACCAUUAAUAAACCAUGGACGAAAUAGAAAAUUGGCUACUAACACCAACUAACCAAGGUUCAUAACUAAAACAUUUGCAGUCCGGAGGUAAAACCGAAUUAUUAACCCCACUUCAACCAAAACUGCAGCAGCUGACCACAAACAACAGUAGGACGUAUACGAAAACCGGCAGCUUGGAUCUCACCUACAGUACCAUGUCGGCUCGAACACAAUCCAGAUGCACACUUCUUCACGCCGUGCUAGAAGACCAUGUCCUGUUGAAAUCACUAAAUCCCUUUAGUGGAUUUGCAGGCGACUCAUGUUUCUUCAAAGGAAGGGCAUAUGAAGGUCAUUUAGCAGACCUUGGAUUCAAUCCCUUCAUGUUGCCAAUACCGCAUCAAACCAACAUUAAACGUGGCCAAGCGAAAGCGGUUUGAAACCUGCACCAAACGGAAUGCAUCAUAAAAAAUGACCAACAUAAAUUGCUAAGCAAAAUGAAAGAAAAUGAUAAUUCAAAACUAAAAUUUUCAACUGUCAUAACCACCCUAACCAAGUUCUUGAACCCUUCAAAGAAACCCUCUCAUCAACACUUCAAAACUCCACUACAAAACUAAACCUCCAACUACUAAUAACUUGCGACCUGAUAGCAGAACCAGGGAAUGAGUUCAUGACCAACCUGACUUCACCCAAAACCUCCAACAGAAUUCUAACUAUCAUUACGAAACUAACAUCCCAACUGUCAUACCCGAUCUAACCUCAACCACCUCAAAAAUUCCAUGAACUGGACCAAGAAUUCCAAACCACUGAGGACAGCCCUGCAUAACAGCUUAAAUGAAGCGAAGUCCGACUCGGCGAAUCCAAGCCAUUCAAUCCUAGCAACCUGCAGAAGGGAAGAAUCAAAAUGUAAAUGGAAUUCUAGUAGGCAGCGCCACACAUCGAGUGGUUUUCAUCACUUAACAAGAAACCAACUCUAACUGUUAUUAAUUAACAAACCUAUAACUAACCCAAUCUUAACACAAUAAAAGGAUAACAAACUUUUCCAACUGUCAAAAAAACUUUCUAACAGAAAUAACCAACUCUAACAACCUCUAACCAACCCCUAACUUCCCUAACUAAAAAUUCAUAAACCUAUAAAAGCAUACCUUGCCCAAUCAUUUUGGAUUUCAUCAUAUUCAUUCUUCCUCACUUUCUUCAAUCUUCUUCAACACCUUUCUUCCAUUUUCUCCAUUCACAACCAAUUUCAAUAUCCAUCUUCAACCUCACACCUAAAUAAUCUUCAAUCUCCUCCUUCAUCUUCAAUCCUCACUUUCUUCAAUCUUCUUCAACACCUUUCUUCCAUUUUCUCCAUUCACAACCAAUUUCAAUAUCCAUCUUCAACCUCACACCUAAAUAAUCUUCAAUCUCCUCCUUCAUCUUCAAACUGAACCGUCAAGCUCCAACCUCCAGGUUCUUCAUCGAUUGCACGAAACAACCUUCAAUUCUUCACCCUCCACUUCACAACCAUAACUUCCAUGGAACCUCACCUCUAACCGCCUUCAACACACACACACACACACAGGGAGGCGAGAAAUGAAAAACAGAACAGAAACAGAAGAAAACAAAUCAGAAAGAUUGAAAGAAGUAAGAGAACUCACAUGACCGCGUUAUCCUCAUCAUCUACAGAAUCGGAAACCUUCCAUUAGCCUCUCACGUAACCAUCGUCCAAAUCGGUCAGAAUCACUAAACUUCAACAAUCUCCAUAGAUUACACUGCAACAACACGAUUCCACAGAGAAAUGAAAUUGAAUUAGAAUAGAAGAUUGAAAAAGAAGGACGAGAAAGAAACACAUAGGAAUUGAAGGAGAAGAGAAGUGGAAAAGGUAGAAGCUUUUACCGGCAAUGUCGACAUCAAUCCAAAGACGAGAUACGGUUUCUUCAAGGAGAAUGUGAAGCAAUCCUCGAACCAUUUGUGGAAGAUUCAUUUGGAAUUGUUGCGAUGGAACCUACCAUUCCUCGAUUCAGUUACAGAACAACAUAGAAGGUAACAGAAGUUCGGAAAGAAGAUGAGAGGCGCAUACCUGAAUUCGUUUCAAACCUUGGAAACCAGCACAAAUCGAAGGUUAUCCGUUAAUCUUAGUCUUCACCGUCGACUACAAAUACAAUAACAACGAUUCAUAAGGAAUCAACAACAUUGAAUGCGCAUCAGAAUUACAAAUAUAAGCGCGACUUUGAUUUGAUGAUGAGCUUGAGCGCGAAGCCGAAUUCGCGUUUGAUGUCGUCGCUUGAGGGUAGACCUCAUUCCCGACGAACUCGCACUGAUUCACUCAUUGGAGAACAAUUUGUGAGAAACUCAUGGCCUUGUUUGAGUUCUUGUGACGUUAAUCGUGUCUCUCUCCCGUUCACAUCUUGCUAAUGGAUUUUCGCGCGGGUUUGUGAAGCUCCUUGUCUAAACUGAUGAGCAGUGGCAUAGAAAAACACACAUGGACGAUGAAAACGGCAAAAUCGAAUCGCACCGCUUCUGCUUAUUAGAAAGAAUCGCAUUUUCCCUUGUUCGCUUUUCCGUUUCGGAUUGAUGAAGAGAAUCGAUUUCAUCUACCCCCUUGUCAAGUGGAUCCGGUUUGGGCUCAAGGCCCAAACAGGUCAUUCCUUCAUGUCCUGGACCGCACCGAAUUGCCAGUUCCCC